AGGAAGUGACCAAGUGGCAGGUAGAG
rnacentral:piRNA from 1 species